rnacentral:rRNA from 1 species
GACGAACGCUGGCGGCGUGCUUAACACAUGCAAGUCGAACGGAAAGGCCCUGCUUUUGUGGGGUGCUCGAGUGGCGAACGGGUGAGUAACACGUGAGUAACCUGCCCUUGACUUUGGGAUAACUUCAGGAAACUGGGGCUAAUACCGGAUAGGAGCUCCUGCUGCAUGGUGGGGGUUGGAAAGUUUCGGCGGUUGGGGAUGGACUCGCGGCUUAUCAGCUCGUUGGUGGGGUAGUGGCUUACCAAGGCUUUGACGGGUAGCCGGCCUGAGAGGGUGACCGGCCACAUUGGGACUGAGAUACGGGCCAGACUCCUACGGGAGGCAGCAGUGGGGAAUAUUGCACAAUGGGCGGAAGCCUGAUGCAGCAACGCCGCGUGCGGGAUGACGGCCUUCGGGUUGUAAACCGCUUUCGCCUGUGACGAAGCGUGAGUGACGGUAAUGGGUAAAGAAGCACCGGCUAACUACGUG